rnacentral:misc_RNA from 1 species
AUAUUUUUACUGCGUUAUGUAAAUUCUAAUUCCGAUUUACAACUUGAUUUUGUUUUGCCAACUCAUUACACAAUUAAGUUAGAAAUUAACAUGACAGAAAAUAAUUUCAACUAUAAUGGUGAAUCGUAUGUCGAUAUCAAAAUUAAAGAGCCUACAAGUUUUAUUAUACUACAAGCGGAUCUUGAAAUAAUUGGAAAUAUAACAGUUAAAAGUGAUAAAAAAAUAUACCAAUCUCAAAGUCAUUCGAUACAUAAAACAACAGAUUUAUUAACGAUUCAAUUCAAUGAGACAAUGCGUAAAGGAUACUACCAAAUGCAUAUAAAGUACAAGAUCCAAAUUUUCAAAAGCUCAGUUGGAUUAACGAGACAUUCAUACAUUGACGAAUUCAAUCAAAAACAAUGGUUAAUAAUGACGAAUUUUGCCCUACUUUGGUGCCCAUCGACUGUUCCCGUGUUGGGACGAUCCAAAGAUCAAAACAACUUUCCAAGUUUUAGUAAAACAUAACAGUAAAUAUGUUGCAUUGUCAAAUACCAAAUUUGAGAAGUUAGUCCGGAAAAAUAAUGACACAGAUCAAAUAUGGACUCAAUUCAAAAAAAACACCCAUGAUGUCGACGUACAAGCUAUCUUUUGUUUUGGGAAAGUUCAAAACUACACAGGUUAAUAAUUCUCUCAGAAUGUGGAGCACAAAAACUGCCAUUGAUUAUGAAGAAAAUUUUAUGAGAAUUGGACAAAAAACAUGGAACAUUCUUGAAGAUAUUACUGGUAUCUCAAGUAACGAGCAAUUUUUGGAAAAAUUAGAUUUUGUCAUAAUACCACGUUCAUCAGAUUUAUCUCGAUACAUGAACGGAAUUUAUCCGAGCUAUAACUGGGAACUUUGUAUUGUCAAUGAAGGAGAUUUAAAAGAAAAAACCUACACUGAGGCCUUACCAAACCUGCUGACUUAUCAAUGGUUCAUAAAUUCAAUUGCUCCAGAUAAUUUUCAUUUUCAAUCAUUUGAGCAUGGUUUGAGUGUGUACAUACCUACGUUUAUUGCUGAUAAGAUCGAUGAAUCAAGCGAUUGGAUGGAUCAAUUUUCGUUUUAUUGCCGAGAGAAAUUAGACAAAUAUGCCUCAAUGAUUCGUAUGAUCGCAACUCUUUUUGGUAAAGAAAGAUUUCGGAACGCUAUUAAAAGUUAUCUACUUAAUAAUAAUUUUGGAGAAUUGACUUCAACGACUCUUAUUGAUGAGUUUAUUAACGCAUCCUAAAAUAUGUCUGUGGAUUUUUAUAAAAUACUGUAUAGCUGGAAAAAUACACUGGGUAAUCCAAUAGUUACAAUUACUAGAAAUUAUCAAAUCAAUACAGCUACUAUCACCUAAUCUCGUUUCGGAGGGUAUUCCUAUCGACAAAGGAAAGAAAAAUAUUGGGUUCCAAUUCACUGUACAAAUGAAGAUAAUUUGGACUUUGACAAUACUUCUGUCACUAAUUGAGUGAAUCCUGAAAUAAAUUCACUUGAAAUUCCAGCAUCUGACUAUAAUAAAUGGCUUAUAUGUAACAAAAAACAGCUAGGUUUCUAUCGUGUUAAUUAUGAUGAUAACAAUUGGCGGCUGAUAAUAAAAUACAUUAACUCAGAUAAUUACGAUAGAAUCCAUCAUAUAAAUCGUGCUUAAUUAAUCGACAAUACUUUCCUUCUCGCAGAGUUUGGAAACGUUGAUUAUAAAAUAAAUUUUUAAUCUAUUGAAAUAUCUUAAGUACGAAACUCAUUACAUUCCAUGGAACUCAUUUUGGAAGCAACUCUCACGAUUACAUAAAUCAGCUCUACCAAGUUCAAAAUUUUAUAAUAUGUUCAAGGCUUUUGUGAUAAUGAGAACUAAAAAUUUUGAAGAACGUAUUUUUAUGGAUGAUGAGUCAAAUGACGAUCGAUUUUUGAAAAGUUUGCGAAAAAAUUUCAUACACUGGACCUGUCAAUUCGGUUCGAAUUUAUGUAAAAACUAUACAUUUUCAAAACUUACCAAAUGGCUGGAAGACCCAAAAAAAAUUCAUUACCAAAUAAUUUCAAAAAAAAAUUCUUUGUGGUGGAAUACGUAAGGCUGAUCAAAAGACAUGGAAUCAAUUAUGGGAUAAAUUUUAUUACCAUAUAUCAGAUGAAGAGUCGUUAAACGCUCUGGGAUGCUCCUUAGAUGACAAAAUUUUAAAAAAUUUUAUAGCAAAAGAUUUAGAAGUAUAUAUCCUUGGGCAUUGUUUGACGUUAUUAGAGGACAAAGUUAUAGAGGUGUUGAUGUUAUUUUGGAGACUAUGAACAGUAAUCAAACAGAGUAUAAUG